rnacentral:rRNA from 1 species
GUCGAGAAUCUUUCACAAUGGGGGCAACCCUGAUGGAGCGACGCCGCGUGGAGGAUAAGGUCUUCGGAUUGUAAACUCCUGUCAUGCGUGAACAAGGUUGCUUGGUUAAUACCUGGGCAAAUUGAUGGUAACGCAAGAGGAAGAGACGGCUAACUCUGUGCCAGCAGCCGCGGUAAUACAGAGGUCUCAAGCGUUGUUCGGAAUCACUGGGCGUAAAGGGUGCGUAGGUGGCGUGGUAAGUCAGAUGUGAAAGCCCGGGGCUCAACCUCGUAACUGCAUCCGAUACUGCCAUGCUAGAGUACUGGAGAGGUGACUAGAAUUCUCGGUGUAGCAGUGAAAUGCGUAGAUAUCGAGAGGAAUACCAAAGGCGUAGGCAGGUCACUGGACAGUUACUGACACUGAGGCACGAAGGCCAGGGGAGCGAACGGGAUUAGAAACCCGGGUAGUCC